AUUGAACGCUGGCGGCAGGCCUAACACAUGCAAGUCGAGCGGAUGAAGGGAGCUUGCUCCUGGAUUCAGCGGCGGACGGGUGAGUAAUGCCUAGGAAUCUGCCUGGUAGUGGGGGAUAACGUCCGGAAACGGGCGCUAAUACCGCAUACGUCCUGAGGGAGAAAGUGGGGGAUCUUCGGACCUCACGCUAUCAGAUGAGCCUAGGUCGGAUUAGCUAGUUGGUGGGGUAAAGGCCUACCAAGGCGACGAUCCGUAACUGGUCUGAGAGGAUGAUCAGUCACACUGGAACUGAGACACGGUCCAGACUCCUACGGGAGGCAGCAGUGGGGAAUAUUCGACGAUGGGCGAAAGCCUGACACAGCCAUGCCGCGUGUGUGAAGAAGGUCUUCGGAUUGUAAAACUCUUUUAGUUGGGAAGAAAAGCAGUGAGAUAAAACCUUGCUGUCUUGACGUUACCAAAAGAGAAAGCAACGGCUAACUUCGUG
rnacentral:rRNA from 1 species